CGCGUAGGCGGGGAUACAAGUCGGGUGUGAAAUCUAUGGGCUUAACCCAUAAACUGCACUUGAAACUGUAUCUCUUGAGUGUCGGAGAGGUAGACGGAAUUCCUAGUGUAGCGGUGAAAUGCGUAGAUAUUAGGAGGAACACCAGUGGCGAAGGCGGUCUACUGGACGAUAACUGACGCUGAGGCGCGAAAGCGUGGGGAGCAAACA
rnacentral:rRNA from 1 species